rnacentral:rRNA from 1 species
AUUGAACGCUGGCGGCAUGCCUAAUACAUGCAAGUCGAGCGGAGCGGCGGACGGGCGAGUAAUUCCUAGGAAUCUGCCCGGUCGUGGGGGAUAACGUACGUUAACGGGCGCUAAUACAGCAUACUAUCAGCUGAGCCUAGGUGGGAUUAGCUCGUUGGUAGGGUAAAGGCCUACCAAGGCGACGAUCCGUAACUGGCCUGAGAGGAUGAUCAGCCACACUGGAACUGAGACACGGUCCAGACUCCUACGGGAGGCAGCAGUGGGGAAUAUUGCACAAUGGGCGAAAGCCUGAUGCAGCAAUGCCGCGUGUGUGAAGAAGGCCUUCGGAUUGUAAAGCACUUUCAGCAGGGAGGCGUUACCCACAGAGGAAGCACCGGCUAACUCCGUGCCAGCAGCCGCGGUAAUAC